UACAGAGACUGCAAGCGUUAUUCGGAUUCACUGGGCGUAAAGGGCGCGUAGGCGGCCUUGUAAGUUGGGGGUGAAAGCCCGUGGCUCAACCACGGAAUGCCUUCGAUACUGCUUGGCUUGAGACCGGAAGAGGUGAGUGGAACUGCGAGUGUAGAGGUGAAAUUCGUAGAUAUUCGCAAGAACACCAGUGGCGAAGGCGGCUCGACUGGUCCGGAGUCUGACGCU
rnacentral:rRNA from 1 species